rnacentral:rRNA from 1 species
CAUUAAGUUAUCCGCCUGGGGAGUACGGUCGCAAGAUUAAAACUCAAAGGAAUUGACGGGGGCCUGCACGAGCGGCGGAGCAUGCGGAUUAAUUCGAUGCAACGCGUAGAACCUUACCUGGGUUUGACGUGGAUCGGGAGUGCUCAGAGAUGGGUGUGCCUCUUUUGGGGUCGGUUCACAGGUGGUGCAUGGCUGUCGUCAGCUCGUGUCGUGAGAUGUUGGGUUAAGUCCCGCAACGAGCGCAACCCUUGUUCACUGUUGCCAGCACGUUAUGGUGGGGACUCAGUGGAGACCGCCGGGGUCAACUCGGAGGAAGGUGGGGAUGACGUCAAGUCAUCAUGCCCCUUAUGUCCAGGGCUUCACGCAUGCUACAAUGGCUGGUACAGAGAGUGGCGAGCCUGUGAGGGUGAGCGAAUCUCGGAAAGCCGGUCUCAGUUCGGAUUGGGGUCUGCAACUCGACCUCAUGAAGUCGGAGUCGCUAGUAAUCGCAGAUCAGCAACGCUGCGGUGAAUACGUUCCCGGGGCUUGUACACACCGCCCGUCAAGUCAUGAAAGUUGGUAACACCCGAAGCCGGUGGCCUAACCGUUGUGGGGGAGCCGUCGAAGGUGGGACUGGUGAUUAGGACUAAGUCGUAACAAGGUAACCAAUC